GUGGAUUAGAUACCCUGGUAGUCCAUGCCGUAAACGUUGGGCACUAGGUGUGGGGGACAUUCCACGUUUUCCGCGCCGUAGCUAACGCAUUAAGUGCCCCGCCUGGGGAGUACGGCCGCAAGGCUAAAACUCAAAGGAAUUGACGGGGGCCCGCACAAGCGGCGGAGCAUGCGGAUUAAUUCGAUGCAACGCGAAGAACCUUACCAAGGCUUGACAUGAACCGGUAAUGCCUGGAAACAGGUGCCCCGCUUGCGGUCGGUUUACAGGUGGUGCAUGGCCGUCGACAACU
rnacentral:rRNA from 1 species